UAAUGUCAGCCAUUAAAAACUAUUGGACAACACUAUGUUUCAUGUUAAACUAUGUCUGAAACAAUACUUUUAACAACACUGUCAAAAAUGAAUGGCCUGUGAACUCCAAGGCCCCAGGGAAACAAUAGAUAGGAAGUUGAUACAACCGUCUACUUUCAUUAAAUUAAUACAUAAAAAGUAAAAAGUAUAUAAGUAAUUAAAAAGUGUCAAUGUACUUGAAUUUCACAUAGAUAUCCAGCAGGUAAAUUCAGAAAUGUGCAGUUUCUUAGCAUGCCCCCGGAACCGCAACAAAGACCUUGGCAGAUAAGAAGCUUCUAGAAUAGAGUUCCUUUCAAUCCCUUAAUGCGAUGCGCCUCUAGAGUAUGCUGUGGCAAACAGAAGAGCUUGACGGAGCAGGGCUUUAGGAAGCCUGGCAUAUUUCCGUCCAGCGUGUUGACUCUUUCUGGGGCUUCAGACGUAGAGCCUGUUUCCUGUCUCUCUGUUCCAGUGUG